AUUGAACGCUGGCGGCAUGCUUUACACAUGCAAGUCGGACGGCAGCACAGAGGAGCUUGCUUCUUGGGUGGCGAGUGGCGAACGGGUGAGUAACGCAUCGGAACGUACCGAGUAAUGGGGGAUAACUGUCCGAAAGGACAGCUAAUACCGCAUACGCCCUGAGGGGGAAAGCGGGGGAUCUUAGGACCUCGCGUUAUUCGAGCGGCCGAUGUCUGAUUAGCUGGUUGGCGGGGUAAAGGCCCACCAAGGCGACGAUCAGUAGCGGGUCUAAGAGGAUGAUCCGCCACACUGGGACUGAGACACGGCCCAGACUCCUACGGGAGGCAGCAGUGGGGAAUUUUGGACAAUGGGCGCAAGCCUGAUCCAGCCAUGCCGCGUGUCUGAAGAAGGCCUUCGGGUUGUAAAGGACUUUUGUCAGGGAAGAAAAGGGGCAUGUUAAUACCGUGCUCUGAUGACGGUACCUGAAGAAUAAGCACCGGCUAACUACGUG
rnacentral:rRNA from 1 species